AGGUUUUUUGUUUAUUCCAUAUGAACUUUAGGAAUGUUUUAUUUAUUUUUGAGAAAGAAAUGUCAUUGGAUCUCCUUUGGACCUUAGGGUGACCUCAGAGUAGCCACUCUUUCCUUGAGGGGAGCAAUGGGU